rnacentral:rRNA from 1 species
UACGUAGGGUGCAAGCGUUAAUCGGAAUUACUGGGCGUAAAGCGUGCGCAGGCGGUUGUGUAAGACAGAUGUGAAAUCCCCGGGCUCAACCUGGGAACUGCAUUUGUGACUGCACGGCUGGAGUGCGGCAGAGGGGGAUGGAAUUCCGCGUGUAGCAGUGAAAUGCGUAGAUAUCAGAAGGAACAUCAGUGGCGAAGGCGGCUUCCUGGACCAAUACUGACGAUCAGGUGCGAAAGCGUGGGGAGCAAACAGG